AAGUCGUAACAAGGUUUCCGUAGGUGAACCUGCGGAAGGAUCAUUAUCACGUAUCCACGUAUCAACUCUUGUGAACUGUACCACCUCUAAGCGUUUUGUGAUGAUUUUGAGGGGGUUGGUUGGGUUGGAGAGAGUGAAAUUGCAAUUUAUUUUGCUUUUUUCGUUCUUUUCUUCUCUCUCAUUUCUCUUCUUUAUCCUCUCACAUUACUGCUCAGAGUGUAUUUUCCCUUUUUUUCUUUAUUCACCUUUCGAACCAAAUCUCUUUUAAGAUUUUUGAACUGAUUUAGUAGGAAAAUUGAAAAAUUUUUCUACUUUAUUACGAAAAUACUGUACAACUCUUAGCAACGGAUAUCUUGGCUCUC
rnacentral:misc_RNA from 1 species